CGUCUCGACCCCCCGCCGACCACCGGAAUCCGGUUGUUCGCCGCCGGCAACCUCCGCUGCUCAUCCUCCUCCUCUGCCACUCCACGAGCCUGUCUUCGAAUGCGACCUCCGCGCCUUACCAAGGCGCAGACGGCGGCGGCGUGCACGCCCUACGUGGCCGCUCCUCAUCCGCUUGCGCCGCCCCGACGUGUCAGCUCCUCAUCCGCACUUCCCUCCUGGUCAAUCGAAGAUUCCUCCUAUUUGCCUGCCUUCCCCCCAAACACCCCACCAAACUCGUCCGUCCUCUUCCUACCGCAGUAAGCUCACGCAGCAACCAUGGCGGCGUCAGGAACCCUAGUCGUGUACAGGGCGCUGUUCACCGCGCUGGGUCUGUCAAUGGUGGGCACCCUGGUGUACACUUGCAUCACCGACGGCUCCCCUUUUCGCGCGGAGCUGCUCACUCCGUGGAUGGUGACAACACUUGUUGAUUUUUAUGUAAAUGUGAUAGCGAUUUCGACUUGGGUUGUCUACAAGGAAGUAAACUGGAUUAGUUCUGUCUUCUGGGUAGUUCUGUUGUUUUGUUUCGGCAGUGCUACUACAUGUGCUUACAUAGUUACCAAGCUAUUUGAGAUAACCCCUUUAGGGCCUUCGCAAGAUCCACUUGAUCAUUUAUUGCUAAGGCAAGAUAGUUUACCAGAAAGGAAGUGUUCUUUUGUCACAGUUGGGAGAAUUAUUUUUAGCAUUUUGGGCAUACUCAUGGCUGCGCUUGUCACAUAUACUGUCGUUACAGAUGGCCUGCCUUUUAGGAAGGAUUUGUUGACACCGUGGAUGGCUGCAACCUUAUUUGACUUCUAUAUAGAUGUCUUUGCAAUAUCGGUAUGGGUUGUUCACAAGGAGUCGACUUGGAUCUCAUCAGUCAUUUGGAUAUGCUUGUUGAUAUGCUUUGGAAGCAUCACAACAUGUGGCUACAUUGUGGUUCAACUUCUCCAAGUAUCAUACGAAGACCCAAUCUACCAUGUGCUGCUGAACUCUCAUAGCAAGUAUGGAAUUGCACCCUCUCAAUAAUCCUUGAUAUUCUACGGAUCUGGAUAGCUUGCACUUGUGUAAACUCUGCUUGACAGUCAUUUAUAUCUGUUUGAAAUGUAGGAAGAUUUGAAUAUAUUGAAGAGCUAUGAUAUGUUUUGUACACAAUAAAUUCUCUCUUAUACCAUAGCAUGCAGCAAUAAAGGGCGAAUCAUAAAUCAUUCAACACAAUCGGUGCUAAAACCUAGUGAAGGUCAGUAGCGACUUUCUUGAUAUGUUGGAUAAUUACACUCAUUGGCAAAUAAACUGUAGAAAUCAAAGCUUGCAUAACCUUUUUAUUUGAGGCAUCUCGCCCUUGUGUGUGGAAGCAUCAACUCAGGGCAGAGAAAUCCUUCAACCAUUUGCACUAUUUCGUAUUCCUUGACUUACAAGGCGUUUGUUCUAAUAUAAGAAGAAAGUUGCUAUUUCCCUUCA